rnacentral:rRNA from 1 species
UACGGGGGGGGCAAGCGUUGUUCGGAAUUACUGGGCGUAAAGGGUUCGUAGGCGGCCAACUAAGUCAAACGUGAAAUCCCUCGGCUUAACCGGGGAACUGCGUCUGAUACUGGAUGGCUUGAGUUUGGGAGAGGGAUGCGGAAUUCCAGGUGUAGCGGUGAAAUGCGUAGAUAUCUGGAGGAACACCGGUGGCGAAGGCGGCAUCCUGGACCAACACUGACGCUGAGGAGCGAAAGCCAGGGGAGCAAACGGG